AACUAACGCUGGCGGCGUGCCUAACACAUGCAAGUCGUACGAGAAAGUCGGCUUCGGCUGAUGAGUAAAGUGGCGCACGGGUGAGUAACGCGUGGAUAAUCUGCCUUUUAGUUGGGAAUAACGUACCGAAAGGUGCGCUAAUACCGGAUAAUACUGCAUAACUACUGUUGUGUAGUCAAAGAAGGCCUCUGUUUACAAGCUUUUGCUGAAAGAUGAGUCCGCGUACCAUUAGCUAGUUGGUAGGGUAAUGGCCUACCAAGGCUACGAUGGUUAGCUGGUCUGAGAGGAUGAUCAGCCACACUGGAACUGAGACACGGUCCAGACUCCUACGGGAGGCAGCAGUGAGGAAUAUUGCGCAAUGGGGGCAACCCUGACGCAGCAACGCCGCGUGAGUGAGGAAGGUUUUCGGACCGUAAAGCUCUGUCGAGCGGGAAGAAAUGUAUCGUGGCUAAUAUCCAUGAUAUUUGACGGUACGCUAAAGGAAGCGACCGG
rnacentral:rRNA from 1 species